AGAAUCAACGCUGGCGGCGUGCCUAACACAUGCAAGUCGAACGAGAAAGUGGAGCAAUCCAUGAGUAAAGUGGCGACCGGGUGAGUAACACGUGACUAACCUACCUUCGAGUGGGGGAUAACAUCGGGAAACCGAUGCUAAUACCGCAUAACAUCGCAAGAUCAAAGCAGUAAUGCGCUUGAAGAGGGGGUCGCGGCUGAUUAGCUAGUUGGCGGGUAACGGCCCACCAAGGCGAAGAUCGGUA
rnacentral:rRNA from 1 species